UGGGGAAUAUUGGACAAUGGGGGGAACCCUGAUCCAGCCAUGCCGCGUGUGUGAAGAAGGCCUUAUGGUUGUAAAGCACUUUAAGCGAGGAGGAGGGUACUGGUAUUAAUACUACCAGCUACUGGACGUUACUCGCAGAAUAAGCACCGGCUAACUCUGUGCCAGCAGCCGCGGUAAUACAGAGGGUGCGAGCGUUAAUCGGAUUUACUGGGCGUAAAGCGUGCGUAGGCGGCUUUUUAAGUCGGAUGUGAAAUCCCCGAGCUUAACUUGGGAAUUGCAUUCGGUACUGGGAAGCUAGAGUAUGGGAGAGGAUGGUAGAAUUCCAGGUGUGGCGGUGAAAUGCGUAGAGAUCUGGAGGAAUACCGAUGGCGAAGGCAGCCAUCUGGCCUAAUACUGACGCUGAGGUACGAAAGCAUGGGGAGCAAACAGG
rnacentral:rRNA from 1 species